AUGAACGCUGGCGGCGUGCCUAAUCCAUGCCAGUCGAGCGAACGGACGAGAAUCUUGCUUCUCUGAUGUUAGCGGCGGACGGGUUAGUAACACGUGGAUAACCUACCUAUAAGACUGGGAUAACUUCGGGAAACCGGAGCUAAUACCGGAUGAUAUUUUGAACCGCAUGGUUCAAAAGUGAAAGACGGUCUUGCUGUCACUUAUAUAUGGAUCCGCGCUGCAUUAGCUAGUUGGUAAGGUAACGGCUUACCAAGGCAACGAUGCAUAGCCGACCUGAGAGGGUGAUCGGCCACACUGGAACUGAGACACGGUCCAGACUCCUACGGGAGGCAGCAGUAGGGAAUCUUCCGCAAUGGGCGAAAGCCUGACGGAGCAACGCCGCGUGAGUGAUGAAGGUCUUCGGAUCGUAAAACUCUGUUAUUAGGGAAGAACAUAUGUGUAAGUAACUGUGCACAUCUUGACGGUACCUAAUCAGAAAGCCACGGCUAACUACGUG
rnacentral:rRNA from 1 species